rnacentral:rRNA from 1 species
AUUGAACGCUGGCGGCAGGCCUAACACAUGCAAGUCGAGCGAGCGGCGGACGGGUGAGUAAUGUAUGUGGACUGCCCGAUGGAGGGGGAUAACUACUGGAAACGGUUGCUAAUACCGCAUACUAUCGGAUAACCCAUAUGGGAUUAGCUAGUAGGUGGGGUAAAGGCUCACCUAGGCGACGAUCUCUAGCUGGUCUGAGAGGAUGAUCAGCCACACUGGAACUGAGACACGGCCCAGACUCCUACGGAGGCAGCAGUGGGGAAUAUUGGACAAUGGGCGCAAGCCUGAUGCAGCCAUGCCGCGUGUAUGAAGAAGGCCUUCGGGUUGUAAAGUACUUUCAGUGAGGAGGCGUUACCAACAGAAGAAGCACCGGCUAACUCCGUGCCAGCAGCCGCGGUAAUAC